UACGGAGGGAGCUAGCGUUGUUCGGAAUUACUGGGCGUAAAGCGCACGUAGGCGGCUUUGUAAGUUAGAGGUGAAAGCCCGGAGCUCAACUCCGGAAUUGCCUUUAAGACUGCAUCGCUUGAAUCCAGGAGAGGUGAGUGGAAUUCCGAGUGUAGAGGUGAAAUUCGUAGAUAUUCGGAAAAACACCAGUGGCGAAGGCGGCUCACUGGACUGGUAUUGACGCUGAGGUGCGAAAAGCGUGGGGGAGCAAACAGGG
rnacentral:rRNA from 1 species